UCGCCACACUCCACCGCCGCCGUCAUUCAGCCAUGAGCUUGUCUACCACAGGAUGCUCUGAAUCAAAGGUUAGAUUUCGAUUUUGAGCAUGUUUAUAUUCGAUAAAGAAAUGAGUUGGAGUUGAUUCUUGUGGCUACGUUCUGCCCCUGAUUUUGAUGCACUUGGAGUUGAUUCUUGUGGGAUAGGCUUAACUGGAUAUCUCUUGUAUUGAAAUGAGUUGUUGCAAUUGUACUAAAGCUUUACUGAUUUUGCUUUAGAGAUGAAAAUGAGAUUUAAAUCUCUUUUAUUGGUUUAUAUCUGGUAAAUAUAGGUUUGGAAGAUAACAAACCACAUGUUUAAUAGUUGAGGAAAAGUUGUAAGAAAUUGAAGUGGUCAUUCCAGAUUCGUGUAUCCCAAGAUCCUUCAUGUUUGUUUACAGAAUCUUGAUGGUGCCUUAAGG
rnacentral:lncRNA from 1 species